CGGCCUGAGGGACGCUCCCUGCCCCAUCCCGGCUUUUGUCACCAAAAAAAAUUAAUAAACAGUUUUGACUUCACACCAAGGUUGGAUAAACUGCAGGGGGUGGAGGUGCAGGACUGAAGAAGGGCGACCCCUGCCCCUGGGCCCCUCCCGUAGGCAGCACCUGGGCCUGUCGGGGCGGCUCCCCGGAGUGGCGCGUUAGGCCUCUGUCAGGUGGCCUGGAGGUGGAAAGGCCUAUCCGAUCACCAAGACUGAGGGGCGCCCUCCCCAUCCCCAGGGAAGGAGUCCAAGGAGACCAGCGGAGCAGACCACGCGGCAUUUAUUGUUGGGCCCGCGUCCCUGCCCGCCCCGGGUUAGCGGCAGCCACACUCGUCCACCACCAUGUCCUCAUACUGCCGCAGCACCACGUUGUCGCUGUUGUCAAAGAAGAGCACGGAGAUAGGCGACAGGCGCGCGGGCACGCAGCAGGGCAGGUCGGCGGCUCCCGGGGCGGCCGCGUGCAUGAGCGCGCGCAGCACAGCGUGGUUGAGCGCCGGCGGCCCCCCGGACCCCGACAGCGCGACGGGCAGCGCGCACUGACCCUGGCAGUAGUUGGCCAGGAAGCCGCGCGGCGCG
rnacentral:lncRNA from 1 species